AGCGAACGCUGGCGGCAGGCCUAAAACAUGCAAGUCGAACGCCGUAGCAAUACGGAGUGGCAGACGGGUGAGUAACACGUGGGAACGUACCCUUUGGUUCGGAACAACACAGGGAAACUUGUGCUAAUACCGGAUAAGCCCUUACGGGGAAAGAUUUAUCGCCAAAGGAUCGGCCCGCGUCUGAUUAGCUAGUUGGUGGGGUAACGGCCCACCAAGGCUACGAUCAGUAGCUGGUCUGAGAGGANGAUCAGCCACACUGGGACUGAGACACGGCCCAGACUCCUAC
rnacentral:rRNA from 1 species